AAAGAUUAAGCCAUGCAUGUCUAAGUAUAAGCAAUUAUACCGUGAAACUGCGAAUGGCUCAUUAAAUCAGUUAUCGUUUAUUUGAUAAUACCUUACUACUUGGAUAACCGUGGUAAUUCUAGAGCUAAUACAUGCUGAAAAUCCCGACUUCGGAAGGGAUGUGUUUAUUAGAUAAAAAACCAAUGCCCUUCGGGCCUUUUGGUGAUUCAUGAUAACUUUACGGAUCGCAUAGCCUUGCGCUGGCGACGGUUCAUUCAAAUUUUUGCCCUAUCAACUUUCGAUGGUAAGGUAUUGGCUUACCAUGGUUU
rnacentral:rRNA from 1 species